rnacentral:rRNA from 1 species
GAUGAACGCUGGCUACAGGCUUAACACAUGCAAGUCGAGGGGAAACGACGGGGAAGCUUGCUUCCCCGGGCGUCGACCGGCGCACGGGUGAGUAACGCGUAUCCAACCUGCCUCUGACUGAGGGAUAACCCGUCGAAAGUCGGCCUAAUACCUCAUGGCAUCGUCUGCGGGCAUCCAACGACGAUUAAAGAUUUCAUCGGUCAGGGAUGGGGAUGCGUCUGAUUAGCUUGUUGGCGGGGUAACGGCCCACCAAGGCGACGAUCAGUAGGGGUUCUGAGAGGAAGGUCCCCCACAUUGGAACUGAGACACGGUCCAAACUCCUACGGGAGGCAGCAGUGAGGAAUAUUGGUCAAUGGGCGAGAGCCUGAACCAGCCAAGUAGCGUGCAGGAAGACGGCCCUAUGGGUUGUAAACUGCUUUUAUGCGGGGAUAAAGUGAGGGACGUGUCCUUCAUUGCAGGUACCGCAUGAAUAAGGACCGGCUAAUUCCGUGCCAGCAGCCGCGGUAAUACGGAAGGUCCGGGCGUUAUCCGGAUUUAUUGGGUUUAAAGGGAGCGUAGGCCGUGGAUUAAGCGUGUUGUGAAAUGCAGGUGCUCAACGUCUGCACUGCAGCGCGAACUGGUCCACUAGAGUGUGCGCAACGCAGGCGGAAUUCGUCGUGUAGCGGUGAAAUGCUUAGAUAUGACGAAGAACUCCGAUUGCGAAGGCAGCUUGCGGGAGCACAACUGACGCUGAAGCUCGAAAGUGCGGGUAUCGAACAGG